rnacentral:rRNA from 1 species
UGAUUGAUGGUGCUUGCACCUGAUUGAUUUUGGUUGCCAACGAGUGGCGGACGGGUGAGUAACACGUAGGUAACCUGCCCAGAAGCGGGGGACAACAUUUGGAAACAGAUGCUAAUACCGCAUAACAGCGUUGUUCGCAUGAACAACGCUUAAAAGAUGGCUUCUCGCUAUCACUUCUGGAUGGACCUGCGGUGCAUUAGCUUGUUGGUGGGGUAACGGCCUACCAAGGCGAUGAUGCAUAGCCGAGUUGAGAGACUGAUCGGCCACAAUGGGACUGAGACACGGCCCAUACUCCUACGGGAGGCAGCAGUAGGGAAUCUUCCACAAUGGGCGCAAGCCUGAUGGAGCAACACCGCGUGAGUGAAGAAGGGUUUCGGCUCGUAAAGCUCUGUUGUUAAAGAAGAACACGUAUGAGAGUAACUGUUCAUACGUUGACGGUAUUUAACCAGAAAGUCACGGCUAACUACGUGCCAGCAGCCGCGGUAAUACGUAGGUGGCAAGCGUUAUCCGGAUUUAUUGGGCGUAAAGAGAGUGCAGGCGGUUUUCUAAGUCUGAUGUGAAAGCCUUCGGCUUAACCGGAGAAGUGCAUCGGAAACUGGAUAACUUGAGUGCAGAAGAGGGUAGUGGAACUCCAUGUGUAGCGGUGGAAUGCGUAGAUAUAUGGAAGAACACCAGUGGCGAAGGCGGCUACCUGGUCUGCAACUGACGCUGAGACUCGAAAGCAUGGGUAGCGAACAGGAUUAGAUACCCUGGUAGUCCAU